rnacentral:rRNA from 1 species
GUUGCCAUCAGGUUAAGCUGGGGACGUCUAAAGGAACUGCCUACGCAAGUAGUGAGGAAGGCGGGGAUGACGUCAAAUCAGCACGGCCCUUACGUCCAGGGCUACACACGUGCUACAAUGGCCGAUACAGAGGGCAGCUACCUGGUGACAGGAUGCAAAUCUCCAAAGUCGGUCUCAGUUCGGAUCGGAGUCUGCAACCCGACUCCGUGAAGUUGGAUUCGCUAGUAAUCGCGCAUCAGCCAUGGCGCGGUGAAUACGUUCCCGGGCCUU